rnacentral:rRNA from 1 species
CGGGUGAGUAAUGCAUCGGAACAUGUCCAAUCGUGGGGGAUAGCCCGGCGAAAGCCGGAUUAAUACCGCAUACGCCCGAGAGGGGAAAGCCGGGGACCGCAAGGCCUGGCGCGAUUGGGUUGGCCGAUGUCCGAUUAGCUAGUUGGUGGGGUAAAGGCUUACCAAGGCGAUGAUCGGUAGCUGGUCUGAGAGGAUGAUCAGCCACACUGGGACUGAGACACGGCCCAG